rnacentral:rRNA from 1 species
GAUGAACGCUGGCGGCGUGCCUAAUACAUACAAGUCGAGCGAACAGACGAGGAGCUUGCUCCUCUGACGUUAGCGGCGGACGGGUGAGUAACACGUGGAUAACCUACCUAUAAGACUGGGAUAACUUCGGGAAACCGGAGCUAAUACCGGAUAAUAUAUUGAACCGCAUGGUUCAAUAGUGAAAGACGGUUUUGCUGUCACUUAUAGAUGGAUCCGCGCCGCAUUAGCUAGUUGGUAAGGUAACGGCUUACCAAGGCAACGAUGCGUAGCCGACCUGAGAGGGUGAUCGGCCACACUGGAACUGAGACACGGUCCAGACUCCUACGGGAGGCAGCAGUAGGGAAUCUUCCGCAAUGGGCGAAAGCUUGACGGAGCAACGCCGCGUGAGUGAUGAAGGCCUUCGGAUCGUAAAACUCUGUUAUUAGGGAAGAACAAAUGUGUAAGUAACUAUGCACGUCUUGACGGUACCUAAUCAGAAAGCCACGGCUAACUACGUG